AUCCAGAUGACGCGUACCAAAUAGGAGGAAAUGCGCAUCCUGGAU
rfam:Trichobilharzia regenti genome assembly, scaffold: TRE_scaffold0049651